rnacentral:lncRNA from 1 species
CUUUUCUGCUCAAAAAAUGACAGGCUUGAAAAAUGUAAAUCUGAACAUAUUUUAUGCUUACAGAAGGAAAUAUAUUUUUGAAAUAGAUGUGUGUUCCUUUCGAAACCUUUGAGGUAAGUUGCUCAGCUGGGAGUGAAGUGCAUUAUAUCUUGUCAUCAAUAAAUAUGCCUGUUUAAGUGAGAGACAGGGCCAUGUUUUCUCAAAGCUAUGUUUCUGUAUUGCUUUGUUUUAUGGCUAGAUGUUACUUCUGAGACUGCUCCAGGUUUAAAAUUUGUUUGUUUCUUAAGUAGAAAUGAAGAACACAAUUCUGCCUGUUCAGUUUGUAGAGGAAGGAUUUAUAUACAGGUUUCACACUUUCCCUGGUCUGGAAACAGUGGCUUUAAUUAGGCUCUACAGAGCAGACACGAGAAGGAAAGUAAAAAGCCUUAUUGCUUUACAUGCUCAUCUCCAAAACCAAAUGUAAGAACAAGAAAGCUUUUCUGUGUGCUUCCCCGAAGGUUUGCUGUUCUGUUGUGUCUGUGUAUAUAUACAUACUCGUGUGCAAGAAGCUCCUUUAUUUCCCUAUUCAUGUUUUUUUUUUUUUUAAUUUUUUUUUUAGGUCGCAGUGCCAGCUGUGAUGAGCAGAUACGCUGCUAUUGUCUGCCAUAAAUCAUUGCCUGGGGGUGUACAUGUGAUGGGAAGAUAUUUGACUGCAUCUCUUUCCCCUCUGAUUAUAGCAGCGAACCAGGCAAAUAGAAGGAAUACAAAUAAAGGAAGUAAUCGAAGCCCAGACCCUCCAAGGCAUUUAAGCAGCUUUUCCAAACCUUUGAGGAUCUCAGCACUUCAGCAAAGGAAGGGAGAAUUUCAUAAGGAUGGUGAAUUUGAAGUGCAGAAUCCGAAUGUUGACUUGUAAGGGUUUGAAAUGUGUACAGAACAAGAUCUGGAAAAGAUCUUCAUCUUCUCCACCUAUAAGCAAUUUCAUUUUAGCUAUUCAUUAGAGAUAGUCAAAAGAUGCCUGGACAUGGUCCAGGGCACCCUGAUCUGGGUGUCCCUGCUGGGGCAGGGGUUGGACCAGGUGGACCCACAGGCCUCUGCCAACCUUAACCAUUCUGUGAUUUUUUUCUUGAUAAUGACCAAACCCAGGCUACUAGAAAUGAAGCAAAGAUGUUACUGAAUGCACUGACAUCCCACACUGUUUUGGGAGGUGAGUGGUUAGAAAGCUGCCUGGCCGAGAAGGACCUGGGAGUAUUGGUUGAUAGUCGGCUGAAUAUGAGCCAGCAGUGUGCUCAGGUGGCCAAGAAGGCCAACAGUAUCCUGGCCUGCCUAAGAAGCAGUGUGGC